AUUGAACGCUGGCGGCAGGCCUAACACAUGCAAGUCGAACGAGUGGCGGACGGGUGAGUAAUGUCUGGGUAACUGCCCGAUGGAGGGGGAUAACUACUGGAAACGGUAGCUAAUACCGCAUACCAUCGGAUGUGCCCAGAUGGGAGUAGCUUGUAGGUGAGGUAACGGGUCACCUAGGCGACGAUACCGAGCUGGUCUGAGAGGAUGACCAGCCACACUGGAGCUGAGACAGGGUCCGGACUCCUACGGUGAGCAGCAGUGGGGAAGAGUGCACAAGGGGCGCAAGCCUGAUGCAGCCAUGCCGCGUGUAUGAAGAAGGCCUUCGGGUUGUAAAGUACUUUCAGCGGGGAGGCGUUACCCGCAGAAGAAGCACCGGCUAACUCCGUGCCAGGAGCCACGGUAAUAC
rnacentral:rRNA from 1 species